rnacentral:pre_miRNA from 1 species
AGGAGGAACAACCACAGUGGCGGCGGCCAGCUCUGGAGCCUUGGAUUCAUUUCCCGCAGGAACUGCAGAGCUCUCAGCCUGGAGGGGCCUGGGUGUUCCGGGGGCGG